rnacentral:tRNA from 1 species
GGUUCCAUGGUGUAAUGGUGAGCACUCUGGACUUUGAAUCCAGUGAUCAGAGUUCAAGUCUCGGUGGAACCUA